rnacentral:other from 1 species
AUCCCCCUGCAAUGUGCGUGCUUAAUAUUCGUUUUUUGAGCCAACACCUUGAAACCGGGGGCCUUUCCUUGUUGUGGUGUGCAUUCCACCAGUAUCUCUAUGAUGAGAGGUGGAAAGCCUAAAGCAGCAAUAAGGCGCCCACGUGGUCGAAAGGUUCAAAAAGGAGGUUAACACGGCAUGAGCGGGGGUUUU